CGGGCUUAAGUUGUCGAAGUCUUUUUUAAUACUGCUGUUCUGGCAAGCAAGUUAAUUUUGGCUUGGAAAUAAGUAUGAAAGAAACAAAGUAUUUAAUAUCUUUACAACUUUUACCGUUUAUUCAUUUGUGUCGGCACUCAGACUUAUUUCCGAGUCAAAACUGAACUGAAGGUCAUCGGACAUAUGUCCGACCCAAACUCAAUGUCACCGGACAUUUUGUCAGACGGCCCUGUAAAAGAUA